rnacentral:rRNA from 1 species
AUUGAACGCUGGCGGCAUGCCUUACACAUGCAAGUCAAACGGCAGCACGGGAGCAAUCCUGGUGGCGAGUGGCGAACGGGUGAGUAAAGUAUCGGAACGUGCCCAGUCGUGGGGGAUAACGUAGCGAAAGUUACGCUAAUACCGCAUACGAUUUAUGGAUGAAAGCGGGGGAUCGCAAGACCUCGCGCGAUUGGCGCGGCCGAUAUCUGAUUAGGUAGUUGGUGGGGUAAAGGCUCACCAAGCCGACGAUCUGUAGCUGGUCUGAGAGGACGACCAGCCACACUGGGACUGAGACACGGCCCAGACUCCUACGGGAGGCAGCAGUGGGGAAUUUUGGACAAUGGGCGAAAGCCUGAUCCAGCCAUGCCGCGUGCAGGAUGAAGGCCUUCGGGUUGUAAACUGCUUUUGUACGGAACGAAAAGGUUUGGCCUAAUAAGCUGAGCUCAUGACGGUACCGUAAGAAUAAGCACCGGCUAACUACGUGCCAGCAGCCGCCGCAG